rnacentral:rRNA from 1 species
UACGUAGGGGGCAAGCGUUGUCCGGAAUCAUUGGGCGUAAAGCGCGCGUAGGCGGCCCGGUAAGUCCGCUCUGAAAGUCCAGGGCUCAACCCUGGAAAGCGGGUGGAUACUGCCGGGCUAGAAUCCGGAAGAGGCGAGUGGAAUUCCUGGUGUAGCGGUGGAAUGCGCAGAUAUCAGGAGGAACACCAAUAGCGAAGGCAGCUCGCUGGGACGGUAUUGACGCUAAGGCGCGAAAGCUAGGGGAGCAAACGGG